CAGCCGCAGCCGCGUUAGCCCCUCCAAGAGUUGUGCGAACACAGCAGGCUCUUGCCCACGUGCACGUCUUUGAACGAGCCGAGCCGAGAGCCGUUGCCUCCUUGUUCUUUCCCCGUCUCCGAGGCCACUUUGUGCUCUGCAUCCCUCAGGCUUCACCUAAAAUGCCCCUUUCUUAAAGAGACCUUCCCUAGAAGUUCAUGGAAAUUGGCCUGGGAACAGCUGAGGAGCUGCUGGAAAGCCACACGGUCAUGUCCCCUCCAGGAAUCAGGAAUGGACGAAUGAGAGAAUAAAGGAGGACCAAAUAAGAUUCCAUCAAGUCCACAUCCCCAGCCUCACAGUUGUGCAGAGAUCCAAACAUCGGUUUUUUUGGUGUCCAGAUAGUGAAAGCACAGAGCCCCAUGACAUACUUGGUGUGCCGCCUCACUACUUGGAUGCUGGCCCUUGAUUUUAUUUCAUUGAAUAAUUACCUAAGGAGACCUCCCUUUAUCACAGACAUUACUGAAGGAUAAAGGACGAUUUCUCUCACAUUUCUCCCUCCCUCAAAGAAGGAAACAAAGGUACUCACGAUGGAGUGAGAGGAUCACCUCCAUAUGCAGAGGCUAGGAACCCCUAUCUGUAUUCAAAGGACAGAAGCGCAUGGCUAGAGCCGACUAGCUGGGAAAUGGGAGUUCCAGCUGGAUCUCCAUAUCAGACUGAAGAACAAGAAGAAGAUGGAAAAGCGUGCCUGUGUUCUUGUUCCUGGAAAUGUUCCAUUUAAAUUCAGAUUAUCUCCUCUCCUGCCUGCCCAAACAUUGGUUCUACUUGUGUGUGUGGUUUUUUUUUUUUUUUUUUUUUUUUUGUUUUUUGGUUUUUUUUUUUUUUGUCUGUCUCCCCUUUUCCUUUCCCUUAAACCGUCUUGAAAUGGAGUUUGUUGAAGAUAAGGAUUUGUCAUUUGCUAUAUGAGUCUGGUCAAGUGAAACUUCUGAUAAUUUUAAGGAAGUGACUCAAAGUUUUUAGUUGGGGUUUUCCUCACCUGUGAAGACCUAUGUUUACUUAAAAAAAACAAAGAAAAGUAAGCCUUGAUUUCCUGUGAGAUUGACAGAAGGAAGAUUGAUGGAGAUAAAUGACCCAGAAGGAAGUCCUCUUGUCUGAUAUAAAACUCUAGCAAGAAUGAGAAGCCUGACAUGGGUAAUGAUAUUUACAUAUAUGCAUUGAUUUAUAGUAUUUUUUUUUUCUGGAACGCAUGUACAUUUCCUAGUUGUUCUUGAGUGAGGAUGACAGACCUCCUGGAAAUUUGUGAUUGAAUUUGGACCCAGUUAGGGAAGCUCUGUUACCUACCAAAAAAUUUUAGAAGUAAUGAUUCAGGUCCUCAUGUUAUCCCAAUACCUCAUUAAUAGGCUGCUUGAUGAUUCCGGAAAUCAUAAACAAUGUGGUAUGUAUUCUGGUGACUAUUAUAUUUUGUCUCAUUGUGAAUGGAUUCUUCUAAAAAGAGGGAUCUAAGGAUAGUUCCUAGGGCUUUAUGCACAUGCUCAGUUCAACAGUGGCUUAUAAUUGUGGUUAUUGUUAACAUUUGUUUAUUUUCUUUUGGAAAAUAUUACUCUGUUUCAUGAUAAGCUGUAGCCAAGAAUGUGAGAAUAAUUCCAAGUUUUGCCUUGAAAUCCACACUUAAUCAUCUCUUGUUUUCUUCUCUUUUGAAAUGUGGAAUUAAUAUUCUGCAGAAAAUAAAAUAAAUUAUAUUUGUUACAAGAAGAUUAUGUCUGAAAAGGAAUCAUAUUUUUUUUUAUAAAAUAGUCAUUCCUUGUUUAGAAAGUUUAUUUUGGCAACUAUACUUUAAAUAUCUGAAUAUUCAAAAAUGUCUUAAUGCUUCUAUAUAUCAUGGGCUUGUUUUGCUAAUAUGCAGUAUACAAUGUAUCCAGAGGACAAUAUUUAUUUAUUUAUUUUUAAAUAUUAUUUAUUUAUUCA